rnacentral:misc_RNA from 1 species
UUUCCGUAGGUGAACCUGCGGAAGGAUCAUUAACGAGUUUUGACUGGGUUGGAGCUGGCCUUUCGAGGCAUGUUCACGCCCUGCUCAUACACACUUCACCUGUGCACUUAUAGUGGGUAUUAGUUCUUAAACCGUGCUCUUUUAUAGCAGCUUGUGUAGCGUGUCUAUUUCUGCGUUUAUCAAAAACUCUAUAGAGUAUCAGAAUGUGUAUUACGAUGUAACGCAUCUAUAUACAACUUUCAGCAACGGAUCUCUUGGCUCUC